CUUACAAGCCUUCUUCAAUCUACUAAUUUUAUCUAUAAAAAUUUAAGCUGAUAAACUCAAAAUUUAUUAUAGAGCAAUCGACAACAAAUCAGGGAGGGAGAAACUCUUAAUGACAGAUAAAAGCCGAAUUUAGGGCAUCCAAAUUAGGUGAAGAAGUGUCAAAAACAAGUAAUGGGGAAUAUUUAGAGAAGCAAAGAGAAAUCAUGCCAACCGCUACUUUCAUCUCUCUGUCUGUCUGUCUCUCUCACACGCUUUUCCUCCGUUUCCUUAUUGGUUUUGUAUCAUCUCUUCGAUUUGGUCACCUCUUCGAAAAAUCAUGGAAGAUGUCCAGCAACCUUCAGCUUCUUUGUGUAAUGGUUCCCAGGACACUAUUGAAGAAAAUCAAGAAAAGAAAGCUGUUCCUGUUGGGCGCAAACGACUAACGAGAUCAAGGUUUUCUGACUCGUUUUCAUCUCAUGCUUCUGUAUCAGAUAAGAAAUCCUUCGCCGUGGAGGCGGAGGAGGAGGAGGAGGAGGAGGAGGAG